GGAUGCUAAGGAGCACCUAAAGGUGCUGAGGAGCACAUAGAGAUGCUAAAGAGCACCUAAAGGUGCUGAGGAGCACAUAGAGAUGCUGAGGAGCACCUAAAGGUGCUAAAGGGCACCUAAAGGUCCUGAGGAGCACAUAGAGAUGCUAAAAUAAGGAUGCUAAGGAGCACCUAAAGGUGCUAAAGGGCACAUAGAGAUGCUAAGGAGCACCUAAAGGGGCUAAAGGGCACCUAAAGGUGCUGAAGAGCACAUAGAGAUGCUAAAAUAGAGAUGCUAAAGGGCACAUAGAGAUGCUGAGGAGCACAUAGGGAUGCUAAAGAGCACCUAAAGGUGCUAAAGGGCACCUAAAGGUGCUGAAGAGCACAUAGAGAUGCUACAAUAGAGAUGCUAAAGGGCACAUAGGGAUGCUGAGGAACACCUAAAGGGGCUAAAGGGCACCUAAAGGAGCUAAAGAGCACAUAGAGAUGCUGUAAUAAGGAUGCUAAGAAGCACCUAAAGGUGCUGAAGAGCACAUAGAGAUGCUGAGGAGCACCUAAAGGUGCUGAGGAGCACCCAGAGAUGCUACAAUAGAGAUGCUAAAGGACACAUAGAGAUGCUAAAGAGCACCUAAAGGGGCUAAAGGGCACCUAAAGGUGCUGAAGAGCACCCAGAGAUGCUACAAUAGAGAUGCUAAAGAGCACAUAGAGAUGCUAAAGAGCACCUAAAGUUGCUAAAGAGCACAUAGAGAUGCUAAAGAGCACCUAAAGGUGCUAAAGGACACAUAGAGAUACUAAGGAGCACCUAAAGGGGCUAAAGGGCACCUAAAGGUGCUGAAGAGCACAUAGAGUUGCUAAAAUAAGGAUGCUAAGAAGCACCUAAAGGUGCUAAAGGGCACCUAAAGGUGCUGAAGAGCACCCAGAGAUGCUCCAAUAGAGAUGCUAAAGGACACGUAGAGAUGCUGAGGAGCACCUAAAGGUGCUGAGGAGCACAUGGAGAUGCUGAGGAGCACCUAAAGGUGCUAAAGGGCACUUAAAGGUCCUGAAGAGCACAUAGAGAUGCUAAAAUAGAGAUGCUAAAGAGCACCUAAAGGUGCUGAAGAGCACAUAGAGAUGCUGUAAUAAGGAUGCUAAGAAGCACCUAAAGGUGCUGAAGAGCACAUAGAGAUGCUGAGGAGCACCUAAAGGUGCUGAGGAGCACCCAGAGAUGCUGCAAUAGAGAUGCUAAAGGGCACAUAGAGAUGCUGAGGAGCACCUAAAGGUGCUGAGGAGCACAUGGAGAUGCUGAGGAGCACCUAAAGGUGCUAAAGGGCACCUAAAGGUGCUGAAGAGCACAUAGAGAUGCUAAAAUAGAGAUGCUAAAGAGCACCUAAAGGUGCUAAAGGGCACCUAAAGGUGUUGAAGAGCACAUAGAGAUGCUUAAAUAGACAUGCUCAGGAGCACAUAGGGAUGCUAAAGAGCACCUAAAGGGGCUAAAGGGCACAUAGAGAUGCUGAGGAGCACCUAAAGGUGCUGAGGAGCACAUGGAGAUGCUGAGGAGCACCUAAAGGUGCUAAAGGGCACUUAAAGGUCCUGAAGAGCACAUAGAGAUGCUAAAAUAGAGAUGCUAAAGAGCACCUAAAGGUGCUGAAGAGCACAUAGAGAUACUAAGGAGCACCUAAAGUGGCUAAAGGGCACCUAAAGGAGCUAAAGAGCACAUAGAGAUGCUGUAAUAAGGAUGCUAAGGAGCACCUAAAGGUGCUGAGGAGCACAUAGAGAUGCUGAGGAGCACCUAAAGGUGCUAAAGGGCACCUAAAGGUGCUGAAGAGCACAUAGAGAUGCUAAAAUAGACAUGCUCAGGAGCACAUAGGGAUGCUAAAGAGCACCUAAAGGGGCUAAAGGGCACCUAAAGGUGCUGAGGAGCACAUAGAGAUACUAAGGAGCACCUAAAGGUGCUAAAGGGCACCUAAAGGUGCUGAAGAGCACAUAGAGAUGCUAAAAUAGAGAUGCUAAAGGGCACAUAGAGAUGCUGAGGAACACCUAAAGGUGCUAAAGGGCACCUAAAGGUGCUGAAGAGCACAUAGAGAUACUAAGGAGCACCUAAAGGUGCUAAAGGGGACCUAAGGAGCUGAAGAGCACAUAGAGAUGCUGUAAUAAGGAUGCUAAGGAGCACCUAAAGGUGCUGAGGAGCACAUGGAGAUGCUGAGGAGCACCUAAAGGUGCUAAAGGGCACCUAAAGGUGCUGAAGAGCACAUAGAGAUGCUGAGGAGCACCUAAAGGUGCUAAAGGGCACCUAAAGGUGCUGAAGAGCACAUAGAGAUGCUGAGGAGCACCUAAAGGUGCUGAGGAGCACCCAGAGAUGCUGCAAUAGAGAUGCUAAAGGGCACAUAGAGAUGCUGAGGAGCACCUAAAGGUGCUGAGGAGCACAUGGAGAUGCUGAGGAGCACCUAAAGGUGCUAAAGGGCACCUAAAGGUGCUAAAGGGCACAUAGAGAUGCUAAAAUAGAGAUGCUAAAGAGCACCUAAAGGUGCUAAAGGGCACAUAGAGAUGCUGAGGAGCACCUAAAGGUACUAAAGAGCACCUAAAGGUGCUGAAGAGCACAUAGAGAUGCUAAAAUAGACAUGCUCAGGAGCACAUAGGGAUGCUAAAGAGCACCUAAAGGGGCUAAAGGGCACCUAAAGGUGCUGAGGAGCACAUAGAGAUACUAAGGAGCACCUAAAGGUGCUAAAGGGCACCUAAAGGUGCUGAAGAGCACAUAGAGAUGCUAAAAUAGAGAUGCUAAAGGGCACAUAGAGAUGCUGAGGAGCACAUAGAGAUGCUGAGGAACACCUAAAGGGGCUAAAGGGCACCUAAAGGUCCUGAGGAGCACAUAGAGAUGCUAAAAUAAGGAUGCUAAGGAGCACCUAAAGGUGCUAAAGGGCACAUAGAGAUGCUGAGGAGCACCUAAAGGGGCUAAAGGGCACCUAAAGGAGCUAAAGAGCACAUAGAGAUGCUGUAAUAAGGAUGCUAAGGAGCACCUAAAGGUGCUGAGGAGCACAUAGAGAUGCUGAGGAGCACCUAAAGGUGUUGAAGAGCACCCAGAGAUGCUACAAUAGAGAUGCUAAAGGGCACAUAGAGAUGCUGAGGAGCACCUAAAGGUGCUGAGGAGCACAUAGAGAUACUAAGGAGCACCUAAAGGGGCUAAAGGGCACCUUAAGGUGCUAAAGAGCACAUAGAGAUGCUAAAAUAAGGAUGCUAAGGAGCACCUAAAGGUGCUGAAGAGCACAUAGAGAUGCUGAGGAGCACCUAAAGGUGCUGAGGAGCACCCAGAGAUGCUCCAAUAGAGAUGCUAAAGGGCACAUAGAGAUGCUGAGGAGCACCUAAAGGGGCUAAAGGGCACCUAAAGGUGCUAAAGGGCACAUAGAGAUGCUCCAAUAGAGAUGCUAAAGGGCACAUAGAGAUGCUGAGGAACACCUAAAGGUGCUAAAGGGCACCUAAAGGUGCUGAAGAGCACAUAGAGAUACUAAGGAGCACCUAAAGGGGCUAAAGGGCACCUAAAGGUGCUGAAGAGCACAUAGAGAUAGUAAGGAGCACCUAAAGGGGCUAAAGGGGACCUAAGGAGCUAAAGAGCACAUAGAGAUGCUGUAAUAAGGAUGCUAAGAAGCACCUAAAGGUGCUAAAGGGCACAUAGAGAUGCUAAAGAGCACCUAAAGGUGCUGAGGAGCACAUAGAGAUGCUGAGGAGCACCUAAAGGUGUUGAAGAGCACCCAGAGAUGCUACAAUAGAGAUGCUAAGAAGCACCUAAAGGUGCUGAGGAGCACAUAGAGAUGCUAAGGAGCACCUAAAGGGGCUAAAGGGCACCUAAAGGUGCUGAGGAGCACAUAGAGAUGCUAAAAUAAGGAUGCUAAGGAGCACCUAAAGGUGCUAAAGGGCGCAUAGAGAUGCUGAGGAGCACCUAAAGGUGCUAAAGGGCACCUAAAGGUGCUAAAGAGCACAUAGAGAUGCUAAAAUAAGGAUGCUAAGAAGCACCUAAAGGUGCUGAGGAGCACAUAGAGAUGCUGAGGAGCACCUAAAGGUGCUGAGGAGCACUCAGAGAUGCUCCAAUAGAGAUGCUAAAGGGCACAUAGAGAUGCUGAGGAGCACCUAAAGGUGCUUAAGGGCACCUAAAGGUCCUGAGGAGCACAUAGAGAUGCUAAAAUAGAGAUGCUAAAGAGCACCUAAAGGUGCUGAAGAGCACAUAGAGAUGCUGUAAUAAGGAUGCUAAGAAGCACCUAAAGGUGCUGAAGAGCACAUAGAGAUGCUGAGGAGCACCCAGAGAUGCUGCAAUAGAGAUGCUAAAGGGCACAUAGAGAUGCUGAGGAGCACCUAAAGGUGCUGAGGAGCACCUAAAGGUGCUGAGGAGCACAUGGAGAUGCUGAGGAGCACCUAAAGGUGCUAAAGGGCACCUAAAGGUGCUGAAGAGCACAUAGAGAUGCUAAAAUAGAGAUGCUAAAGAGCACCUAAAGGUGCUAAAGGGCACCUAAAGGUGUUGAAGAGCACAUAGAGAUGCUUAAAUAGACAUGCUCAGGAGCACAUAGGGAUGCUAAAGAGCACCUAAAGGGGCUAAAGGGCACAUAGAGAUGCUGAGGAGCACCUAAAGGUGCUAAAGGGCACCUAAAGGUGCUGAAGAGCACCCAGAGAUGCUACAAUAGAGAUGCUAAAGAGCACCUAAAGGUGCUAAAGAGCACGUAGAGAUGCUAAAGAGCACCUAAAGGUGCUAAAGAGCACAUAGAGAUGCUAAAGAGCACCUAAAGGUGCUAAAGGACACAUAGAGAUGCUAAGGAGCACCUAAAGGGGCUAAAGGGCACCUAAAGGUGCUGAGGAGCACAUAGAGAUGCUACAAUAAGGAUGCUAAGGAGCACCUAAAGGUGCUAAAGGGCGCAUAGAGAUGCUGAGGAGCACCUAAAGGUGCUAAAGGGCACCUAAAGGUGCUGAAGAGCACAUAGAGAUGCUGAGGAGCACCUAAAGGUGCUGAGGAGCACCCAGAGAUGCUGCAAUAGAGAUGCUAAAGAGCACAUAGAGAUGCUAAAGAGCACCUAAAGGUGCUGAAGAGCACAUAGAGAUGCUGAGGAGCACCUAAAGGGGCUAAAGGGCACCUAAAGGUCCUGAGGAGCACAUAGAGAUGCUAAAAUAAGGAUGCUAAGGAGCACCUAAAGGUGCUAAAGGGCACCUAAAGGUCCUGAAGAGCACCCAGAGAUGCUCCAAUAGAGAUGCUAAAGGGCACAUAGAGAUGCUGAGGAGCACCUAAAGGUGCUAAAGUACACAUAGAGAUGCUGUAAUAAAGGUGCUAAAGAGCACAUAGAGAUACUAAGGAGCACCUAAAGGUGCUAAAGGACACAUAGAGAUGCU